CGUGUAGGCGGUUAAUUAAGUCUUGUUUGAAAGACCGAUGCUCAACAUCGGAAACGGACAGGAAACUGAUUGACUAGAAUCCGGUAGGGAAAUGUGGAAUUUCUAGUGUAGGGGUGAAAUCUGUUGAUAUUAGAAAGAACACCAAUGGCGAAGGCAACAUUUUGGGCCUGGAUUGACGCUGAGGCGCGAAAGCAUAGGGAGCAAACAGGAUUAGAUACCCUGGUAGUCC
rnacentral:rRNA from 1 species